GACUCGGUAGCUCAGCUGGUAGAGCAACGGACUUUUAAUCCGUAGGUCCUGGGUUCGAGCCCCAGCCGGGUCA
rnacentral:tRNA from 1 species